GACGAACGCUGGCGGCGCGCUUAACACAUGCAAGUCGAGCGAGAACUAGUCCUUCGGGACUAGGGACAGCGGCGAACGGGUGAGUAACACGUGGGUAAUCUGCCCUCGGCACUGGGAUAGCCCGGGGAAACCCGGAUUAAUACCGGAUGGCCUUUCGAGCUCUAGGGCUCGUCAGAAAAGGUAGCUUCGGCCUCCGGCCGAGGAGGAGCCCGCGGCGGAUUAGCUUGUUGGUGAGGUAAAGGCUCACCAAGGCGACGAUCCGUAGCUGGUGUGAGAGCAUGACCAGCCACACUGGGACUGAGACACGGCCCAGACUCCUACGGGAGGCAGCAGUGGGGAAUCUUGCGCAAUGGGCGAAAGCCUGACGCAGCGACGCCGCGUGCGGGAAGAAGGCCUUCGGGUUGUAAACCGCUUUCAGGAGGGACGAAGCCACUCGGGUUAAUAGCCCAGAGGGUGACGGUACCUCCAGAAGAAGCCCCGGCUAACUACGUGCCAGCCGCCGCUGUAAAAC
rnacentral:rRNA from 1 species